GACGGAGGGCGCAAGCGUUGUUCGGAAUUACUGGGCGUAAAGAGCGCGCAGGCAGGAAGGUAAGUCUGGAGUGAAAUUCCGGGGCUCAACUCCGGAGCUGCUUUGGAUACUGUCUUUCUAGGGACCGGUAGAGGCCGGUGGAAUUCCCGGUGUAGCGGUGGAAUGCGUAGAGAUCGGGAAGAACACCCGUGGCGAAGGCGGCCGGCUGGGCAGUAGCUGACGCUGAGGCGCGACAGCGUGGGGAGCAAACAGG
rnacentral:rRNA from 1 species